CCUACGGGUGGCAGCAGUGAGGAAUAUUGCUCAAUGGGGGAAAGCCUGAUGCAGCGACGCCGCGUGAGUGAAGAAGUAUUUCGGUACGUAAAGCUCUAUCAGCAGGGAAGAAAAUGACGGUACCUGACUAAGAAGCCCCGGCUAGCUACGUGCCAGCAGCCGCGGUAAUACGUCGGGGGCAAGCGUUAUCCGGAUUUACUGGGUGUAAAGGGAGCGUAGACGGCAGCGCAAGUCUGGAGUGAAAUCCCAUGGCUUAACCAGGGAACUGCUUUGGCAACUGUGCAGCUAGAGUGCAGGAGAGGUAAGCGGAAUUCCUAGUGUAGCGGUGAAAUGCGUAGAUAUGAGGAGGAACACCAGUGGCGAAGGCGGCUUACUGGACUGUAACUGACGUUGAGGCUCGAAAGCGUGGGGAGCAAACAGGAUUAGAUACCCCUGUAGUC
rnacentral:rRNA from 1 species